rnacentral:rRNA from 1 species
AACGAACGCUGGCGGCAUGCCUAACACAUGCAAGUCGAACGAAACCUUCGGGUCUUGUGGCGCACGGGUGCGUAACGCGUGGGAACCUGCCCUUAGGUUCGGAAUACCUCCCCGAAAGGGGUACUAAUACCGGAUAAUGUCUUCGGACCAAUGAUUUAUCGCCUUUGGAUGGGCCCGCGUUGGAUUAGCUAGUUGGUAGGGUAAAAGCCUACCAAGGCGACGAUCCAUAGCUGGUCUGAGAGGAUGAUCAGCCACACUGGGACUGAGACACGGCCCAGACUCCUACGGGAGGCAGCAGUGGGGAAGAUUGGAAGAUGGGCGAAAGCCUGAUCCAGUAAUGCCGCGUGAGUGAUGAAGGCCGGAGGGUUGUAAAGCUCUUUUACCCGGGAUGAUAAUGACAGUACCGGGAGAAUAAGCUCCGGCUAACUACGUG